AGAUUGAACGCUGGCGGAAUGCUUUACACAUGCAAGUCGAGCGGCAGCGCGGGGCAACCUGGCGGCGAGCGGCGAACGGGUGAGUAAUGCAUCGGAACAUGUCCAUUCGGUGGGGGGAUAGCCCGGCGAAAGCCGGAUCAAUACCGCAUACGCCGAGAGGGGAAAGCGGGGGACUCGCAAGACGCCUCGCGCGAAGUGGGUUGGCCGAUCGCCGUAUUAGCUAGGUUGGGCGGGUAAUCGGCCCACCAAGGCGAUGAUCGGUAGCUGGUCUGGAGAGGUAUGAUCACGCCACGUACGU
rnacentral:rRNA from 1 species